AUUUCUGUUAAACCACCCGAAUACUGAGUUUAUCUCCAUCUUCCUUCUCAGCAUGAAAUGGUCCCCAGGAACUGUCCCUGCUCUCUGUGGGUACUUCUGCACCAGCAGACUCCAGAGGGCCCCUGAGUCCAGAGAUCUCAAGUGCAAUCAGCUCUUUGUAAGGCAUGGACACUUCUGAAUCUUCCUCUCACAUGGAACCUUCCCAGACUUAUAUUUGUUUUGUGGAGGGAGAUGGUGUGCGUUCCCUGGCCUCAGGGGAUCCCCGUGAGUCACCCCAGCACUGCCCAUGGUGGGAGCACUUGGGGCUGCCCUCCUCCAUGUGCCCUUCAGGGCCCUCUGCGAGGGGCUGGGGCUCUGGGGCUGCAGGCGUCGGAGGACUGCGAUGUCUGCACGUAGCCCAGCAGCAGUUUGGGUAGGUGUGUGAAGGGCAGCGUGUUGUCUGGCUGAUGUGGUGGCAAAGGAGCGUACAACAAAGACAGCAUUUGCCAAAGUGAGCACCUUUUAAUCAGUCUUCUGACACCUAACUAAAAGGUGGGCUGCACAGUCCUUGAGUGCCCAAGGCCUCUUAUUGAAGCAGCUUCAUUCUCCAGAAUUGCUGCAUCUAUGUGGACAGCUUCAUCUGCUCUCAGCCUCGCCCUGCACCUGGAACAUAUCUCCAAUCCAUAAAUAAGUGUCCUGCUGGCACAGAGC
rnacentral:lncRNA from 12 species